rnacentral:rRNA from 1 species
GACGAACGCUGGCGGCGUGCCUAAUACAUGCAAGUAGAACGCUGAAGGAGGAGCUUGCUCUUCUGGAUGAGUUGCGAACGGGUGAGUAACGCGUAGGUAACCUGCCUGGUAGCGGGGGAUAACUAUUGGAAACGAUAGCUAAUACCGCAUAAUAGUAGAUGUUGCAUGAUAUUUACUUAAAAGGUGCAAUUGCACCACUACCAGAUGGACCUGCGUUGUAUUAGCUAGUUGGUGGGGUAACGGCUCACCAAGGCGACGAUACAUAUCCGACCUGAGAGGGUGAUCGGCCACACUGGGACUGAGACACGGCCCAGACGCCUACGGGAGGCAGCAGUAGGGAAUCUUCGGCAAUGGACGAAAGUCUGACCGAGCAACGCCGCGUGAGUGAAGAAGGUUUUCGGAUCGUAAAGCUCUGUUGUAAGAGAAGAACGAGUGUGAGAGUGGAAAGUUCACACUGUGACGGUAUCUUACCAGAAAGGGACGGCUAACUACGUG